UCUUUAAUUCCUUUCAUUUAGUUCAUUUACUUUUGUUUUUUUUUAAGUUAUUCUUUAUGGGGUAUGUGUACACCUCUUGGCUUGUAAUAGAUAGGGCCUGGCGAGCAUUUUGUCCAUUUUUCCCCUUCCCCUUUUGUUUUAGUUAGCAAAUGUAAUAGGUUCAUUGCUUGCUUUUGUUGCUACGUGUUUAAUCGCUUUAUUAGGCCCUUGCAUUUAGUCGAGCAUGCUAAGUGUUAUGUGCUACGUGUUUAUAGAUGAUUUGCAUGUCUACUUGCUUUCUAUAGUCGUAGAUGAAUAUGAUGGAUGAAUGGACGUCACCAUACUAGUCCAAUGCUAGUUGUGGCCCCCUUUCCCGAAUCCACACUAGUCCAACGCUAGUUGUGGCUCAUUGUUCCGAUUUCCACUAGUCCAACGCUAGUAGGAAUUCAUAGAUGGGCUAGUCCAACGCUAGACCCUUAGGGAUUCCCCUCGCUAGUUCAUAUUUGCAUGUUUCACUACAUUUCAUGCAUUUUUCUUAGUUUUUAGCAUUUGGCAUGCCCCUCCAACCUUUUCCCCCUCAUCUUAGGCUUUUGCAUUCUCAUGCUAGUUAUAGGGUCCAUUUGCUUGAGGGUCCCCUUUCGAUAAGGGAAACGAGCGAGUGUGGCUACCCAAUAGCCUUAGCACGCUAGUUUUUCCUUCCAAUCAAAGGGAAAAUUAACGUCGCAAAGUUAGGAGUCAUUCCCGUACCCGACUUGAUGCAUUCCUCUAAGUUCAUACAUUCUCAUUCUUAUUUCACUUUCUCACCCUUUUGUUCACAUUUUCUCACUACUUAUGUCCUUCUCAAUGCAAAUGCUAUGCUCACACAUUUUUCCUCUUGUCACUUGUUUUUCUACCUCACAAAUUGCACCCAAUUGCACUUAUAUGUAUCUACUAUCAUAUUUUCAUUCAUUUGCACACAAACACCUUUAUUUUCCCAAUUUGUACACAUGCACUUGUCUUACAUUCGCACACAUGCACGUUUUCAUACAUUUUCACACUUGCACUCAUAUUUGAGUCUUCAUUUGCAUCAUUCGCGACCUCUAUGAGGACUUUCCUUAUUGGCCACCACAACUCAUGUGGUUGGGACCAAAAAGCCUCAUACGAGACAUUUUAGAUUUAGGAUUGCAUUUUUCUUUCCUUUUUCAUAUCCAUUAGUCACAUCCAACAUGCAACGCUUAUUUUGGGUAGAAGAAUUAGGAAAAGUGGGGCUAAAUCACGCAACUAGCUCUUGCUAGGGUAAGGGAGUGCCUUAGGCUUUGCCUUUGCCUUCUCCCUUAUCAAAUGUGACCCCCGAUCCCUUUCUUUGGUUAUGUAGACCUAAAAGUUCUCUAAAAAGGGUUUUGUUUAUUUUUCUUUCCAAAAAAUCAUUUUUUGGGUGACUUGGUACACCCUAACUCUAUACCAAGUGGCGACUCCAUUUUCCAUACAAAAAACCCUUUUUGAACUUUGUUUGGCCAAAUCGUCGCAUUUUCAAGUCCCAUGGCCUUUUAUUUUCAUUUACACACGUUCACAUACAUAUUCCACACUUUCACACCACAUCAAAAAGUGGGGCGCGACACAAACGAUUCUGAACGAGAAAAUAACUUUUGCACACUUUGACUACAAGAUCUAAAGAGAUAUUUUAGCUAGAAAAUAGUCUCCCAAGCAAGAUUUGUUCUCCUAGUUGUGUGAAGUUCUUGUAAGCUCUUCUCUUGUAUUUGAAAUUUUCAAUAGUGCAGCUUUGUUGAGGGUUAUCUGAGUGAUAGUAAAACUUCCUAGCUUGACUAAGUGAGGCUUGGGGCAAGGAGGAAGUGAUCCCUCCAUUGUACAUUGAGUUGAUUAUUGUUCAUCAAAGAGAAGGUGCUCAUCUUUGUGAUUGGUCUUCAAGUUUGAGGAAAGCUUGGUAGACAAUCGGUUUGAUACUCUGUCUUAUUCUUUUUGUUUAAUAAAAUUCUCAUUGCUUA
rnacentral:lncRNA from 1 species